rnacentral:rRNA from 1 species
GAUGAACGCUGGCGGCGUGCCUAAUACAUGCAAGUAGAACGCUGAAGGAAGUGCUUGCACUUCUGGACGAGCUGCGAACGGGUGAGCAACGCGUAGGUAACCUGCCUGGUAGCGGGGGAUAACUAUUGGAAACGAUAGCUAAUACCGCAUAACAAUGGAUAUUGCAUGAUAUCUAUUUGAAAGAUGCAAUUGCAUCACUACCAGAUGGACCUGCGUUGUAUUAGCUAGUAGGUGAGGUAAAGGCUCACCUAGGCGACGAUACAUAGCCGACCUGAGAGGGUGAACGGCCACACUGGGACUGAGACACGGCCCAGACUCCUACGGGAGGCAGCAGUAGGGAAUCUUCGGCAAUGGGGGCAACCCUGACCGAGCAACGCCGCGUGAGUGAAGAAGGUUUUCGGAUCGUAAAGCUCUGUUGUAAGAGAAGAACGGGUAUGAGAGUGGAAAGUUCAUACUGUGACGGUAUCUUACCAGAAAGGGACGGCUAACUACGUGCCAGCAGCCGCGGUAAUACGUAGGUCCCGAGCGUUAUCCGGAUUUAUUGGGCGUAAAGCGAGCGCAGGCGGUUAGAUAAGUCUGAAGUUAAAGGCUGUGGCUUAACCAUAGUAUGCUUUGGAAACUGUUUGACUUGAGUACAGAAGGGGAGAGUGGAAUUCCAUGUGUAGCGGUGGAAUGCGUAGAUAUAUGGAGGAACACCGGUGGCGAAAGCGGCUCUCUGGUCUGCAACUGACGCUGAGGCUCGA